UUAAACCCAUUGUUCACGUGAACUAUAAAUAAAAAUAAAUAAAAGUUGUUUCUUAUUAGUCCAUCUAGACAAGGUGUGGAUCACCCUUUUAAAAAAUCUUGUCCGUUGGUAGAUGUUAAUCCAACGGUUGAUGAUGGUUUACAUUUAUGUUUUUUUUUUGUUUUAUCUUUCCUCCUCCUCUCAUCUUCGAUCUCCAUCUUCUCUUUUUCUCUUAUAAUUUUCCAAUCUCUUCUCCUCUGUUCUUUGUUUCUCAAGUAUCAUAACUUUUUUUCUCUACCAUCAUUUGUCAGAAUCGUGCCGAUUAGAAGGAACCAGGUCGGAUAUUGGAGGAUUUCGUAAAUGGCAAAUCCAAAGCACGAAGAUGGAUCUGUUCAAGUAAGUUUGUGUCGUAGAGGCGUUGGCAGAGAGGCACCGGAGUGAUGUUAGAAGGAGGAUGGAGGCGGGACCUAACCCAUGCCAGAUAACCACAAUGGAAAGUGGAGGAUGCAGCAGAAGCAAAACGUUGGAGGAGGCAAGGCGUGGUUUCCGCAGCAAUAGUGCAAGGUGUGGUCUCCGCAGCGGUGGUGCAAGGUGGUCUGGUGGCAGUCACGGUUGUGGUGGUGCGGCGGAGAGAACAUGACCUUUAGGGUUGACGGCUAGAAGACAAUGUAGGCAGCUUGAGAAGAUUAUAUAUUAUGUUUUGGUUUAGUAAUGUAAACCGAUUUCAUAUUGUAAACAGAUAUCUAUUCGUAAACCGAUUUCAAUUUAUAUAUUAUGUCGAAGAUUUAUAUUUGGUUCAGUGUAAACCAAUUUUACUAACCCGAAAUAAAUUAAUUUAAAUUGAA